GGGCCGGUAGAUCAGCGGAAGAUCGCCGCCUUGGCAUGGCGGAGAUGUUUUAAUAAAUUUAAACACCGCACGCCGCGAGUUCAAAUCUCGCCCGGUCCA
rnacentral:tRNA from 1 species